ensembl:piRNA 21ur-6219 ncRNA
UUUCUAGACGACAUCAAUUGU